CAUUUUAAAAAGCCAUUUUUAUUUAUGAGCAAAACCUUCCCUUUAAUAACGCAGGGGGAAAAUGUGUCAAAAUAGAGGUAUUAAAACAAAAAUCUACAAAGAAACAGGAGUGAGCACACAUUGGGAGAAAAUCUUGACAAUAUUACCAUCAAAAAGUCACGUGGAGGAGUGGUCUAUUGAAGAUAAAAGCAGCACAAAUGAUGUCUCAGUAAGCAGUCCCGGCGGGCAGCGUCACGGGUGUGAUGAUAAAAGAAGGAAAGAACAAGCAUGCGAGGGCGUCAGGGGAGCAGAGCAAGGUAAUCACUCAUGAACGGCUUCAAAGAAAGCGAACGGGAGACUUUCUAAAGACACGGGAAGCGGAAAAACAAGCUAUUACAAUUUGUUACCCCUGCUAAUUCUAAUGAAAAUGUCUUUCUGUAGACAUUUCAUUUAAAAAAAAAAAAAAGUCUUUUUCUGUAGAGAAGAGGUGUAUCCGAAGCAGAGCUGGAAGAUGAGAAGGAAGCGGAGGAAAUAAAUUAUGACUGGGGAAAAAGACUUAGUCAAGAUGGGGUGGCCUCUGACUUGACUCCUCACAAAGCCUCUUUUAAAUGGCUGGGGGCAACGUGAUGCUAAUUAGUACAACACGAAAAAUAAUUAGAGAUAUAUCAGAUUCCAAAACCAAACUAGCACAAAGGGAGACAGAAGUUAGGGUCAAUACGACCCAGCAAACCGG
rnacentral:lncRNA from 1 species